CCGUGACCAUCGGGCCCUCGGCGCCGGCCCGUUAGCUGCCCCGGCCCCGAGCCGGUCCGGCCCGCGGGACACCG
rnacentral:miRNA from 1 species